AUCCAGACGUCCUGAGUUCACUCAACUCAGUAGCAGCACCACAGAGGUCUCUCUGCACCUGUUU